rnacentral:rRNA from 1 species
CCGGCACGGGUGAGUAACGCGUAUGCAACUUACCUAUCAGAGGGGGAUAGCCCGGCGAAAGUCGGACUAAUACCGCAUGAAGCAGGGGUCCCGCAUGGGGAUAUUUGCUAAAGAUUCAUUGCUGAUAGAUAGGCAUGCGUUCCAUUAGGCAGUUGGCGGGGUAACGGCCCACCAAACCGACGAUGGAUAGGGGUUCUGAGAGGAAGGUCCCCCACAUUGGUAUUGAGACACGGACCAA